UACGAAGGGGGCUAGCGUUGCUCGGAAUCACUGGGCGUAAAGCGCACGUAGGCGGAUUGUUAAGUCAGGGGUGAAAUCCUGGAGCUCAACUCCAGAACUGCCUUUGAUACUGGCGAUCUCGAGUCCGGGAGAGGUGAGUGGAAUUCCGAGUGUAGAGGUGAAAUUCGUAGAUAUUCGGAGGAACACCAGUGGCGAAGGCGGCUCACUGGUCCAUUACUGACGCUGAGGUGCGAAAGCGUGGGGAGCAAACAGG
rnacentral:rRNA from 1 species